CUCUCUGUUUACGUUUUUCUACUUAUUUUAAUUGUAUAUCACGUGGUAUAGAUGUUUAUUAUGUAUCUUGAACACGUGCGUUUUAUUCAUUCUUGUAUGUUGGAAUAUUCUUAAUUAAUUUGGUAAGUUUUAAAUUUAAUGAAAUAACUGUUUUGUAUUCUUUAACGAUUACUUGAAUGCGCUACAGAAUACUGAGAAACUUGAUGCAUUAGCCUAUUAUGAGUAUCAAACAUUGAUGACAUUCUGAUGGUAUAAAGUUAACAUGGUCAAAACAUGGACAUGAUGGAUAAAGAAUGAGACUUUUUUUUAUACUUUGUAUAAAGUAUUGACAAUCGUUUCGUGUAAACAGAGAAACAGUAUACAUAAAACAUAAAUGAAAAAACAUAAUAUUGCUCUGCGAGUACAUGGAGUAUAAUGUCUUAACUUUCACAUAAACAGACACACACACACAUGUGCCUACACACAAACUUGGUCACAAAACUAGCACACACACACACACACUCUCUGUCACACAACUACUCAAUCAUAAGUACUUGUACGCCUCAGCUAUUGAAUUACAUUGUGGUGAAUUAUAUAUAUUUAAAUGUUUCUUUCAAAAAUUUACUACAUUUUCUUUCUAAGAGUAUACUAUUUUCAUACCAUUCUAAGAAUUCUAAUUUAAAAACCCUGUAUACAUCUAUGUACUUGUGUUUUAACUCUGAUGCAUAAUUGCUUUUGUAAACAGCAAAUAAAACAAUUGUUAACAACACAUUAAUAUCAAAAUAUGAACUGUCAUGAAUUUUGUAUCCAAGUAUUAAAUUUUGCAUUGAUAAAAUAUGUGUACCUAUUUUUAUUUUAUCUAGUAAUGACCCAACUUUAAUCCAAAAUUCUUGUAAAAAUUCACACUCUUUGAAAAAAUGAUUAUAAUUGUCUACUUGGUGACAUAUAUGACAUUGAUUAUCCUUCAUUAUUUUCCAUUGAUAAAGCAGUUGCUUACAUGGCAAUAUAUAAUUGAUCAAUUUCCACCUAAACAUUUUUAGUUUGUUAUCAAUUAACUGGUGAAAUGUAAAGUUUAAUAUAUCAUGUAAUUGAUUUGAGGAAUUUAGAUUGAAAUUUUUUUUCCAUUUUAUGAAACCAAUAGGUGUGUCACUCUCUAUACCUUUGAUAUAAUUAUAUAUAUCUUUAGGUUUUAAUUUUUUAAUGCAAAUUGAUUUGGCUUUGUUUUUUGUUUCUAAGUAAAGAUUUCUAUCUAUUUGAACUUUAGUUGAAAUUGAUUGAUUUGAUUUUAACAUGAGUUUCCAUUCCUUUUUAAUUGCAGAUUUCAGUUUAGAAAGUUCUGCUAUCCAGUUUGAUUUUUUUUGAUUUUUCUUUCAAUUUAUUUAAGAUUACUUUUUGGGAGAUAUUUCCUUGUUUUAUCUAUGAUAUCAUUAAUAAAAAAGAAUGUCACUUUCUAUCCAGUUUGGAAAAACAAGACUUUUACCAUUUAAUUUAAUUGAUUGAUUACCCCAAAUAAAUUGCUGUCUUAUACAUUUGAAAUUUAACCCCUUGCUUAUCUUUGAACUAUUAUGUACUUUAUACCAACUUUUUAAAAUUUCAAAAUAAAAUUCUGGCAUAAUUUUUUUUAAAUUUGGUAUGUCAUAUAUAUUUUCAGGGUUCAUGUUAAAUAGAGCAAAGUUUGCUCCAAAUUUGUUAAAGUAAUAUAAGGGUAUAACCUUCCAAUUUGAAAAUUCUUCUGUUGUUAACCUUUUAACCCAAGAUAUAUAGAUUGAUGAUGUUAUAUAACUAUCUAUAUCAAUCAUUUUUAAACCUCCAUCCUGAUAAUCAUUACAUAGAGUAGAUCUCUUGAUUUUCUCAUUUUUGUUUUGCCAUAUAUAGUUAAAUAUUAAUUUUUUAAAUUGUGUUAGAAAGUCUCUCGAUAAAUUAGUUACUGAUGCUAAAAAGGUUACGUUUGGUAUAAUUAAUGUUUUUAUUACUGUUAUUCGUCCAAUCAUUGUAAGCUUUCUUUUCUUCCAAUUUGAAAUUGCUUUUUCUGACUUCCUCAAAAUAUUUUCUGUGUUUAAUUUAUGGCAUUCAAUUUUAUUAGUUCCAAAAUAUACACCUAAACUUUUAAUGGGGCUUUUAUUCCAACUAAUGUUUUCAUAUUUAUCUUUAGAAUGUUUUAAUUUACCUAGCCAUAUUCCUUCAGUUUUUGACUUAUUAAGUUUUAGACCAGAAAAGAGUUCCAAAUUCUUCAAUUAAAUUUAAUGCCAGGCUUAUUUCUUGUUUUGAUUUAAGAAAGAGAGUAGUAUCAUCUGCAAGUUGUGAUAUUUUAAGACUAUGUGUUUUAGAAUCAAGUUUGAUUUGAAAUCCUUUAAUACCUGUAUCUUGUCUUAUUCUACAUGCCAGAAUCUCUACAGCUAUAACAAAAAUUAUCGAACUCAAGGGACACCCUUGUCUAAUACCACGAAAAAUGCUAUAGGUUUCAGAAAUCCACCCAUUAUUUAGCAUACAACCUUUGACACCAUUAUAUAAAGUUUUAACCCAUUUAAUAAACGACUGCGGGAGACCAAAUUUUAAAAGAGCUUCAUACAUAAAUGACCAUUCUAACGAGUCAAAAGCUUUUGAAAAAUCUAUAAAUAACAAAGCACCAUCUAUAUUAAAAGUUUCAGAGUAGUCUAUGAUAUCUUGAAUCUGUCGGAUAUUAAAACCAAUGUACCUAUUUUUUACAUAUCCAUUCUGAUCACUAUUUAUUAUUUUUGAUAAAACAGGUUUUAACCGUUGGGCUAAAGUAUAGGCUAUUAAUUUGGUGUCUACAUUUAGUAAAGUUAUAGGUCUAUAAUUGUCUAGGGAUAGCGGGUCAUUUUUUUUGUACAAUAAAGAUACUAUUCCUAUUUUUUGUAAUGUUGUUAAUUCUUCUUUCUCGUAACACCUAUUGAAAACUUCUACAGCUAGUUCUUUUAUAUUAUCCCAGAAUGUGCGAUAGAAUUCAACACUUAGACCAUCUAUACCUGGUGAUUUGUUUAGUUUCAUAUUAAAAAUGGCUUCUGUGCAUUCUUCUAUUGAGAUGCUGCCGCCUAGAGAGCUUUUCUCGUCAUCACUUAAUUUAUGAUCUAUUUUUUGUUUCUUCAACAUAUUGCUUAAUAUUAUUAACAUCUGGAUUUGUACUUUUAUAUAAAUUUUCAUAGUAACAUUUUUCUAAAUUUAAAAUUUCUGAUGGUUCUGUUAUAAUUUUGUCUUGCUUAUCUUUCAAUGCCGAAAUAUUUUUUUUUUGUUUGUCUUGAUUUUUCUAAACCUAAAAAGAAUUUUGUGUUUUUUUCCCCUUCUUCUAACCAUUUGACUCGAGAUCUUACUUGUGCACCUUUAACUUCAUCUUUAUAAAGAUUUUCUAGAUUUUUUUCAAUUUUUUCUAUUUCAUCUUUAGUUUCUUUUGAAGGAUUAAUUUUAUUAUUUAAUCUUUGUAAGUUCAUUUCUAAUUCUUUUAUUUUAUUUUUCUUUUCAGAUGACUUGUAUUUACAAUACAUAACAGUUAUGUCCCUUACUUCAGAUUUGAAGAUAUCCCAUAUAUCUCUUGAAUCUCUGGUAAGUGCCUUUUCUUUAUAUUUUAGAAUAAGAUUGUUUAUAUGGUUUUUUAUAAUUAUCAUCUAUUAAAAUACUAUUAUUUAUUUUAAAGAAACCUCUUCCUCUGCCAUGGUGAUUUUGUCUUAUUUUUUAACGAAAUGGCUUGGUGAUCAGUGUAUGAUAUCAUAGCAGGUCUUAUAUCAGAAUUGAUUACAUGUGGCCUUAUAUCUGGACUGAUCAAAAAGAAAUCUAUUCUGCUUGUUAUAUUCGUAUUGUUUUUCCUUCUCCAUGUAAAUUGAAUUUUGUUUGGAUUUAUUUCCCUCCAUAUAUCUAUUAAUUUGUGUUUUUUAAUGAGCUGCUGUUUAAGGCUAUUUACUGGUUUAUAGUAUUUAUGAGAGCUAUUUGAUUUCCUAUCUAUUUUUAAUAGGGUUUCAUUCAUGUCCCCUCCUAAAAUUAAAAUACCUAAUCGAUUAUUUUCUAUGAUGUUAUUUACCUUUUUGAAAAAUUUAUUUCUGUUAGUAUGAAUGUUUGGGGCAUAUACAUUUAUUAAGGUAAAAAUGUUAUCGUUAACUUCAAUGUUGAGCAAAAUAAUUCUGCCAUCAUUAUCUUUAACUUCAUUUAUUAGUUUAUAAUUUAAACUGUCUUUAAUCAUUAUUGAAACGCCUCUUGAUUGGGAACUUCCAUAGCUAUGAAAAAAUUUACCUUUUACUUCACUAUUAAUAAUAUGUUCAUUUUUCUCUAUUAGAUGGGAUUCUUGUAUAAAUAAUAUAUUACAUUUUUGAUGUUUAUUCCAUAUAAAUAUAAUCUCUCUCUUUUCUCUUUCUGUCCUAAACCUUGACAGUUUAAGGAUAUAAGAUGUAUAUUGUCACUCAUUGUUUUUACCUAAGGAAUAUUCAAUUUUAUACAUUAAAUAUAGCUGUACAAUUCUGGUUCUCAUAAUUAGUGUAAUAACCCACUUAAUAGUACAUGUUAAUGAGACUAUUAUUAGAACAACAUGUCUUAUUACAUUAUUUACAUGUUUGUAAAUACACAAGGUUAAAUGCACGGUUAACUUCUUUUUUUCAAAGACACAAUAUAGUAAUAAAAAUAUCAUUAUAAAAAAUAUAUUUGCAAGAAAUUACUAUUAUAACAGUAUAACAUAACAUAAAUAACGGGUUUGAUUAUGUUAACCCUUUUCGAGCUAAAUUUUGUUUGUUUACAUAUCAAUACUAUGUAUCUCAUACACGAAUAACAAAGCUUAAUUGUAUUUAAAUAUACAAAUGUAUCAUUCAAAUCACUGUUCACUUUUCCAAUAAUCAGGAAAGAUUCUAUCAUGAUUCUCUUUGAUCUCUGAAUUGUUUUAUCGAGUAAUCUAUUUUUAGAUACGGUGAAAACCCAGAAAUUUAGGGGUUUUUGGAAUCGGGUCAGCAUGCAUAUGAAUAUAACUGUAGUUAUACUGUUUUUAGUUAGGUAUGUCACAUGUAUGACGAUAAUGUAAAUUAAAAAGAGAAAGUAUUUUUGAACAAUUAAAAAUAGUUGCAGAUACAUGUUUACAUUAAUGAUUACAUUGAUUGACCUACUUAAAUAGUUGUUUAUUGAUGUGAGUGUUUGAUAUAAGCUAUUUUGUAAAAGAACAAACACAUAACUUUUAUUUACAUAUGUAUCAAUUCUUUUCAGGUAUUUUAGAGUGGUAGUUACCAUGGAUGUGGACGUAGCUUGUACAAAAAAUAUGUGAACUAUAUAGGAGGAACUAAUUUUCAGUUUUUGGAUACCUAAAGCAAUAGUGGUGUUUUUAAUAUGCCAAUCGUUGAAAUUGAUACUAUCUGUAUCCUGGUGAACUAAGUGAGAUAAUGUAUAUGGCAGAUCUUGAGCAGUUUUAAAGUUAUUCCUAGUACAUGUAUGUGAGGAAUUGACACAUUUAUUAACAUGGAUUUUAUAUUUCAAAGAAGUGAUUUCAUCAACUAAGUGAUAUGGAACGCAGCUAAAGUUAGUCAAUUUACCAAUCAAACUGACACCAUUCAGAUUGGGAUUUACAGGUGUUUUGAAUUGAUUCAUGGUUAAUAAAAAGAUGAUAAUAACUUUCAAUGAAUCAACUAUUUGAUCAUAUUCAUUUGUUUUCAUGAUAUUCAUAUAAAUAAAAUAUUUCAUAUCAACAUUUAAUAUAUUU
rnacentral:lncRNA from 1 species